rnacentral:tRNA from 1 species
AGCAGGGUAGAGGAAUUGGUCAACUCAUCAGGCUCAUGACCUGAAGACUGCAGGUUCGAAUCUUGUCCCCCCCU